rnacentral:rRNA from 1 species
GAUCCUGGCUCAGGACGAACGCUGGCGGCGCGCCUAACACAUGCAAGUCGAACGAGCGAGAGAGAGCUUGCUUUCUUGAGCGAGUGGCGAACGGGUGAGUAACGCGUGAGGAACCUGCCUCAAAGAGGGGGACAACAGUUGGAACGACUGCUAAUACCGCAUAAGCCCACGACCCGGCAUCGGGUAGAGGGAAAGGAGCAAUCCGCUUUGAGAUGGCCUCGCGUCCGAUUAGCUAGUUGGUAGG